AGACACUUAACUAAUGCUUCCAUCGGAUUCUCAAAGAAACCAGGUCCUCAAGAAAAACUACUCCAUAACGAAAACACAUCACACUAUGCCAGAGUUAAGCUUAGUCAGGAAGACUGGACGAGGGGUGAGAGACCUGCUCAGGAUGGAGCUAAGGAAAGAAACCAACCAGCAUCAUUGAGGGACUGGAUCACGAGGGCAUCUGGAGAGAGGCCAAGUGCACCAUAAGGAGAAGAUGAAGAUGCUUUCCCUCCAUCUGUUUUCAUGCUAUCAAACAACACGCUUAAUGGAAAUUGCCUUAAAGCUUCCCACCGAAUAUUCUUCUUCUUGGGCUGUACUCUGAAAUUAUCUGUGAAUUUCCAAGGAACAUUUGAGUUAAAUUCGAAUAAAAAUUUAACAGCCUCAUGAUGGCAGUCGGGGAGGGAAGUGAUCUACAACAUAUAUUUGCCAACAAUCCUAAUUGUGAGACACUUCCAGGUCUGCAUCCUUAGACUCACAGGAGCCUCUGCAAGCCCUCUGAUGGUAACUGGUGUGCAAGCAGCAGCACAUCGUCUGUGCAUUCAGCACACUUUCACUGAGGCUCUCCUUGGUGCCAGACACUGCUCUAGAUGCUGAAUAUCCAUCACGAGCCACCAAAGAUCCCUGAGAC